rnacentral:rRNA from 1 species
AAAAAAUAAAUCAAAACUUUCAACAACGGAUCUCCUGGUUGGCAUCGAUGAAGAACGCAGCAAAAUGCGAUAAGUAAUGUGAAUUGCAGAAUUCAGUGAAUCAUCGAAUCUUUGAACGCACAUUGCGCCCGCCAGUAUUCUGGCGGGCAUGCCUGUUCGAGCGUCAUUUCAACCCUCAAGCUCAGCUUGGUGUUGGGACUCGCGGUAACCCGCGUUCCCCAAAUCGAUUGGCGGUCACGUCGAGCUUCCAUAGCGUAGUACUCAUACACCUCGUUACCGGUAAUCGUCGCGGCCACGCCGUAAAACCCCAACUUCCGAACGUUGACCUCCGAUCAGGCCCACACCCACUCCCCCAG